GACGAACGCUGGCGGCGUGCUUAACACAUGCAAGUCGAACGGAAAGGCCCUUCGGGGUACUCGAGUGGCGAACGGGUGAGUAACACGUGGGUGAUCUGCCCUGCACUUUGGGAUAAGCCUGGGAAACUGGGUCUAAUACCGAAUAUGAUCAUCGGCUUCAUGCCUGGUGGUGGAAAGCUUUUGCGGAGUGGGAUGGGACGACGGCCUAUCAGCUUGUUGGUGGGGUAAUGGCUUACCAAGGCGACGACGGGUAGCCGGCCUGAGAGGGUGUUCGGCACAACUGGGACAAAGAGACGGCCUAGACUCAUACGGGAGGCAGCAGUGGGGAAUAUUGCACGAUGGGCGCAGGCCUGAUGCAGCGACGCCGCAUGAGGGAUGACGGCCUUCGGCUUGUAAACCUCUUUCGCCAGGGACGAAGCGUAAGUGACGGUACCUGGAGAAGAAGCACCGGCCAACUACGUGCCAGCCGCCGCAGUAA
rnacentral:rRNA from 1 species